CUUCCGGUAGCGCGCGAGGGCCUGCACGUGGGUCGUGGUUCGACCCGGCGCGCUCUGGUCCGCGGGUGGAAGGGCCUCGCAGCCGUCUCCUGGAAGCUCUGCCGGGGACACGCGUGGGCGCGCGCGGCCUCCUUAGCGGUCCAGAGCCUGCGCUGCCAGUAGUACGCGCGCCCCAUGGCUGUGUGGGGCCCCACGCGCCCUCCUCGCCGCGCGGCUUCUUGCUUCCGCCCCGCGCUUCUCCAGCCUGCCUUCGGUGCCCGCUUCCUGCCCGCGCCCUUGGAACCGCUGGUGUCUGUGCGUUCACAGGCAGGGUCGUGCUACGUGGCCCGGGCCCCCAAAGCGCCGCGACUGCAGGCGCGCCCACCGCGCCGGGCUGAAUUUCCGAGAUGUUCUUGUCCUGCUUCCUCACUGCUGCUUCCUUCUUUCUCUGGUUCUGGGUCUUUAGCUUGAUUCCACAUCCCCCACCUCUAGGCCCACAGCCUGCUGAAAAGUCCUAUAGGCGACUGUCAGAAACGAGGUUUACACCCUCAGUCUACACAAGAAAGCAAAACGAUAUUGAAUAAACGAAUACACGGCUUUGGUUGGGUUUGUUUCAUUUCCUGUCCCGAGGACAGCUCCCUUCCACCUCCAUCACCCGCUGCAGCUGGAAGCCGGCAAGCUGAUGCACCGCUCACCUCACGUAUUAAUGGUUUACUCACUUUGUGUUUUUUUAAACAAUGUUUUUCUGAUAUUCCAUUUUCAUGACAUAUAAAUUUUGUCUAUGUGUUUGAAACACUGUUCAACAUGAACUUAUAAAUGCUUUUCUUUUCUGUUUUUUGGAGAUGGGGUCUCUGUUACCCAGGCUGGAGUGUAAUGUUUUGAUCACGGCUCACUACAUCUUCCACCUCUCAAGGUUCAGGUGAUCUUCCCCCAUCUGCAUGUAUUACUUUUUCAUUAUAAAAAAUGGUCUUUAUGAAUAUGAAUAUUCUUAAUUUGUUGCUGCCACUCUGAUUGCCAGUUUGCUUCUCAGCUGCUUUUCAUGUAACCUGAAUACAUGCCACUCCACAGACACUAACUACUUUCAAAAGACGCCAAUGGCCUCCUAAUUGACAAUGGCCUCACCCAUUAUUUCUCUACCUCACUCUCAGCCGCUGACACUGUUCACACCAUCUCUCACCCACAUUCAACAACUGAUAUUGAUAACACCAUCUCAUUCUCACAGCACUGGCACUGUAACACCAUCUCCUCACCCUCACUCAGUACCUGACAGUGAUAACGCCGUCUCCUCACCCUCACUCAACUACUGACAGUGACAACAGCAUCUUCUCACCCUCACUCAACUACUGACAGUGACAACACCAUCUGACCCUCAGUCAACACCUGACAGUGACAACAUCUUCUGACCCUCACUCAGCAACUGAAAGUGACAACAACAUUUCUUCACCCUCACUCAACAACUGACAAUGACAACACCUUCUCCUGACCCUCAAUCAACUACUGACAGUAACACCAUCAUCUCCUGACCCUCACUCAACAUCUGACAGUGACAGACCAUCUCCUCUCUCUCACUCAACACCUGACAGUGAUAACACCUUCUCCUCACCCUCACUCAACUUCCAACAGUGACAACAGCAUCUCCUCACUGUCAGUCAACUACUGAUAGUGACAACACCAUCUCCUCACCCUCACUCAACACCUGAGAGUGACAACAGCAUCUCCUCAGCCUCAGUCAACAACUGACAGUGUACCCUCACUCAACAACUGACAGUGACAACACCAUCUCCUGA
rnacentral:lncRNA from 1 species